CCUCCACACUCUUACUUGCACCAUACGCGGACACAGUAGACCCAAUUGCAAAGUUCGUUUUGCUAAUCGUCCUCUUUCUUGUUUGUUCGUUUUGCUCUGAGAGAGAGAGAGAGAGAGAGAGAGAGAUGACGAGGGGAAAGCAGAAGAUCGAAGCGCAGAGAAAGAACGCCGAGAGGAACCAGAAGGCCAAGGGGUCUCAGCUCGAGGCCAGAGUCGUCGGCCUCAAAGUCACCUGCCCCAUUUGCAAGGUGCAACUAGCAAAUCAGAAUCAAAUUGGUGAUCAUUAUGCUUCCAAACAUCCAAAGGAAAAGCCACCUACUGACUCGAGCUGACGGCACAUUUCAUUUGCUGAAAAAUCUGGAAACCGUGGAGAAAACAUUGAUCCACAUGUAACAAGGGUCUAUGUGAAGCACAAUAAUUUGACUCGUAUAAUAUGAUGCUGCUUCUGCAAGUCUGUACUGCAACUGCAUUUGAACUCUCGCACUGUUGCUUCUUCCUGGUUGCUUGGAGUCAGUAUUCGUAUCAUCUACAAUGGUAAUUCCGUAUCUCUGGAGAAA